UGGCGGACGGGUGAGUAAUGUCUGGGAAACUGCCUGAUGGAGGGGGAUAACUAUGGAAACGGUAGCUAAUACCGCAUAACGUCGCAAGACCAAAGAGGGGGACCUUCGGGCCUCUUGCCAUCGGAUGUGCCCAGAUGGGAUUAGCUAGUAGGUGGGGUAAAGGCUCACCUAGGCGACGAUCCCUAGCUGGUCUGAGAGGAUGACCAGCCACACUGGAACUGAGACACGGUCCAG
rnacentral:rRNA from 1 species